UACAGGGGGUGCAAACGUUGCUCGGAAUCAUUGGGCGUAAAGCGCACGUAGGCGGUUCGUUAUGUCGGGUGUGAAAGCCCUUGGCUUAACCGAGGAAGUGCAUCCGAAACUGGCGAGCUAGAGUACGAAAGAGGAUCGCGGAAUUCCCGGUGUAGAGGUGAAAUUCGUAGAUAUCGGGAGGAACACCGGUGGCGAAGGCGGCGAUCUGGGUCGAUACUGACGCUGAGGUGCGAAAGCGUGGGGAGCAAACAGG
rnacentral:rRNA from 1 species